rnacentral:rRNA from 1 species
GUCUGCAACUCGACUACAUGAAGCUGGAAUCGCUAGUAAUCGCGAAUCAGAAUGUCGCGGUGAAUACGUUCCCGGGUCUUGUACACACCGCCCGUCACACCAUGGGAGUCAGUAACGCCCGAAGCCGGUGACCCAACCAAACGGAGGGAGCCGUCGAAGGUGGGACCGAUAACUGGGGUGAAGUCGUAACAAGGUAUC